UACUUUUCAGAUAAGAGCAUAGGUGCGUUUCCAUUACCCCUAGAACUGCUCAAAAGCUAAAUAUCGUAAUAACAAACCGGUAAUGGAAAUACCUACAUU